rnacentral:tRNA from 1 species
GUAUGUAUAGCUCAGUGGUAGAGCACGUGCUCAGCAUACAUGAUGUCCUGGGUUCAAUCCCCAGUACCUCCA